UGGGUGGAGUCCUCUGAGGUGGUCUCCAUGUGGCUGAAGGGGACCUUAGCUGUCGCUGGGCCAUGGGCAGCCACCGCACAUACUUGGGCCUCCUUUGCUUGGCUUCCCCCAGGAUAAUCCCCGGCAUGCAAGAGCCUACCAAACCUCUGCUUCCGCCAUGCCUGCUACUUCACCAGCCAGGAGGGACCGGCCGAGCCUAGAGAAGGCGCAGAAGGAGACCUCACAGAGGCGCCUGUCCAGGCAGUGCGGGUCACCGCCAGCUGCCCCUAUUACAACUCUCCACGACUUUGCUUCUAUCUCCAGCCCUUCUCUGCCUAAAACCAACCUCCUCUGCCCGCCGUCUUGAAAUCAUGUUGUCUUGUGGAUGAAGAGGUACCGGAUUCUACAAUUGCAAACAAGGUGUGGGAGGUUGUCUCCGAGGCCUCUCCUUGCUGGGCAUUGGGAGACGCGGAACGUAGCAGGGAGCUCAAGAUGCCGAAACGAGGCUAGACGCUGCUUCUGUUUGAAAGGUGCCUAUUCCCAGGUC